rnacentral:rRNA from 1 species
AAGAGAGCUUGCUCUCUGAUUCAGCGGCGGACGGGUGAGUAAUGCCUAGGAAUCUGCCUGGUAGUGGGGGACAACGUCUCGAAAGGGACGCUAAUACCGCAUACGUCCUACGGGAGAAAGCAGGGGACCUUCGGGCCUUGCGCUAUCAGAUGAGCCUAGGUCGGAUUAGCUAGUUGGUGAGGUAAUGGCUCACCAAGGCGACGAUCCGUAACUGGUCUGAGAGGAUGAUCAGUCACACUGGAACUGAGACACGGUCCAGACUCCUACGGGAGGCAGCAGUGGGGAAUAUUGGACAAUGGGCGAAAGCCUGAUCCAGCCAUGCCGCGUGUGUGAAGAAGGUCUUCGGAUUGUAAAGCACUUUAAGUUGGGAGGAAGGGUUGUAGAUUAAUACUCUGCAAUUUUGACGUUACCGACAGAAUAAGCACCGGCUAACUCUGUGCCAGCAGCCGCGGUAAUACAGAGGGUGCAAGCGUUAAUCGGAAUUACUGGGCGUAAAGCGCGCGUAGGUGGUUUGUUAAGUUGGAUGUGAAAGCCCCGGGCUCAACCUGGGAACUGCAUUCAAAACUGACAAGCUAGAGUAUGGUAGAGGGUGGUGGAAUUUCCUGUGUAGCGGUGAAAUGCGUAGAUAUAGGAAGGAACACCAGUGGCGAAGGCGACCACCUGGACUGAUACUGACACUGAGGUGCGAAAGCGUGGGGAGCAAACAGGAUUAGAUACCCUGGUAGUCCACGCCGUAAACGAUGUCAACUAGCCGUUGGGAGCC